UCAGUUCAAAACUGAUCACCUUUUCAUGAGUCGAUAAUCUUCACUGUUGGUAGGCAUGGUACGAAGCUCUUGCUGAUGUCGAGUAGCCACACAGUCAUUCAACCUCUACAGAUCAUCCACUCGAAGCCCUGAUCGGAUCUUCCUUCAUGGGAGUGCUAGCUCGCAUUGAAGACUCUAGAUGGCUGAUCCAAGCUCCUUUCUUCGGAUCUCUUGGACUCCUCU
rnacentral:lncRNA from 1 species